ACAAAGACGGUCUCUACGUCUCUGGAGACUAACAUUUACUGCUACUACUACCUAACAGUAACAAUUAAAUAGCAUAACCAUAUUAGGAUGUAUGUUCACAGGGGCGCAUUUCACGCCAUAUUGGAACAUGCAGUGUCCAACACAGCAUUCAGCAGAUGAUACUGAGAUGGAGAACGUCAACGUGCCUGCUGACCCUGCACAUGACGCAUGGUAUCCAAGUGGGCUGUGUCCUGCCACAUUCAGGAAAUUUGAGGUGCAACCCUUGUAGGAAAUCAGGUUUCACUGUCCAGUUACAAGAAGCCUGGUGUAAAUAGCUUGUUUGGUCCAGUUGCACCCAACAAAGGGCAACUACCAUGCUGUAAUGAAACUUGAUGGUAUCAGUUUACACCAACGCUAAACUACAUAUACAGCUCCCAAUACAGUGUGCUUUGAGAAGGGAGAGCAACUAUGCCCUGUACGUUUCUGGAAAGAAGAAGUGUUGAGAAGAGUUCUGUGUUGAAGUCAGCAUUGGCAUCCUGAGUAGUGAAAAGAUCAGCAGGGAGUAGCAUCAGUUCGCUACUGUGUGGAGGGACAGUGUUUCUCCCUAUACUCAUGGACAGUACUGUACAUCUAAACACAUGAUUCAUAUUAUAUAUUGUUUCAUAAUGUGAGGUGUGUUUUUUUCAUUCAAAAUAUCAAUUAUCAUAUAUGGUGAAUUUAGCAUCUUACAAAUAUACUGUGCAUGGAAUUUCUUCACUUACACUGUUUUCAGCAUUUUGAGGCAAAACUCUUUUCAUGUGUUACAUUUAUGUUUAUUGUUUCCUCAACAAUAAAGAACUAGCAAAAUGA
rnacentral:lncRNA from 1 species